CCUACGGGAGGCAGCAGUAGGGAAUAUUGCUCAAUGGGGGAAACCCUGAAGCAGCAACGCCGCGUGGAGGAUGAAGGUUUUAGGAUUGUAAACUCCUUUUGUGAGAGAAGAUAAUGACGGUAUCUCACGAAUAAGCACCGGCUAACUCCGUGCCAGCAGCCGCGGUAAUACGGAGGGUGCAAGCGUUACUCGGAAUCACUGGGCGUAAAGAGUGCGCAGGCGGGCUUGUAAGUCAGAUGUGAAAUCCUGUAGCUUAACUACAGAACUGCAUUUGAAACUAUGAGUCUAGAGUGUGGGAGAGACAGGUGGAAUUUUUGGUGUAAUGGUAAAUGCCGGAGAGAGCAGUGGGGAU
rnacentral:rRNA from 1 species